rnacentral:rRNA from 1 species
UACGUAGGGUGCAAGCGUUAAUCGGAAUUACUGGGCGUAAAGCGUGCGCAGGCGGUUUUGUAAGACUGUCGUGAAAUCCCCGGGCUUAACCAGGGAAUGGCGAUGGUGACUGCAAGGCUAGAGUUUGGCAGAGGGGGGUAGAAUUCCACGUGUAGCAGUGAAAUGCGUAGAGAUGUGGAGGAACACCGAUGGCGAAGGCAGCCCCCUGGGUCAAGACUGACGCUCAUGCACGAAAGCGUGGGGAGCAAACAGG